rnacentral:lncRNA from 1 species
CCUCCUCCUCCUCCUCCUCCUUCUCCUCCUUCUCCUCCUUCUCCUUCUCCUUCUUCUUCUUAUUCUUCCCUUUUUUUUUAUGAGCUAAAGCCCCUGGCAUCAGUGAUUUCUUACCGGGCUAUCUCCCUGUAAAUUCAUUCAGUUAACCCUAUGCCUUCACCUGUAAGUCACCUGCUGGACACAAAAACUCCAGUAUCAACUAUCUUCCUCCUGCCCCAGUCAGGGUCGCUCAAAACUUACAGACCAGCCUUCCUCCUGGACCCUGAUCUCCUGCCUUUGCACUUGCUGAUGGAGUAUAAAGCAAGCCUACUGACUUGCUCCUCCUCACCCUCGAGGUCUCUAACGACCACAAUGGAACAUUCUGUCCUCAAGACCAGCAUAUCCCCGCUAUUAUUUCACUCCCGGGCAGAUGACUUCGGUUCAAAUGGUCUCUAGAAAGCUUAGAUGUGAUGCUGCUUAAGUCCCUGAGGGGAGCCGAAAAAGUCUCCCGGGUUUUUGGCUCGAACUCCAAUACUAGCUUUGAGUCUUCCAGUCUGCCUCGCCUGCUAAACUGGAACUCCAAGGGUUUAAUAAUAGACUAAGUGAAAUAAUACGACGGCCAAUGUGUGGUCCACUAGUACCAGGAGUCCUCAUCUCAGCUUUCCUAGAACCCUUCAAGCAGCCUACACGUGUACAUAAUCCUCUGAUUCCAACACCACCUUGCGAUUUGACACAACCGACAAAGUGCUGCGGCCCACGGAACACGAACAGCAAGCCUGCGGAUUUUAAACUAGAAGCAGCGAGGUUUCUCGCCAGAGAAAUGACUGAACAGCCACCCCUUGAUUAAUUUACUCUCUGCACCAAG